CGCCACCGUUAAUAUUUGUCGGCGCAGGGCUCUAACUGCACGUUUUUGCCUUUCAUUGCAAAAAACAUCAAUUUAUUUUUUUUUUACUGAAUAUAUAUUUUUAAAAAGUAUUUGUUGAUACAUAUACAUAUAUAAUAAGCUGAAUCCAAAAGAAAAAAAUCAUACGUUACAUACAAAAACUGUAUAUCAAAUUUAAUGAACAAAACAAAAAAAGGUGAUAUGUAUUCAAAAUACAACUCAGAAAGUGAAUUUCAUCAACGUCGUAGUAUUCAAGUCACGGAUAAUGUAUCAUAUUAUGUUCUCAAUGGGAAAAACAUAGCAAACGAUAGUUCAUUUCCUCAAUCAUUCAACGUUAGUAUUGAAGAGGAUGAAAAUGUAAUGAAAAUGCCAAAACGAUUUCAACAAGAAGUUUUUAAUCAACAAAUGACAUAUGAUUAUGAGAACGAUGGUGGGAUAGAAGAUGACUUCGAUUUGCUUCCAAAAUCUCCAGUUUCUAGAUACAGAACACAUAAGCUAAGUUAUCAACAUCACACUGACCAUCAUAGAGCGAGCGAAUGUCAACAACAUCAAAAACAUGAGCAUCAGUACCGUCAUGGUCAACAAAGUUUACAACAUGAUAAUCAAAAUGAUCACACUUACCACUAUCAUUAUGCGAAAAAAAGUGCUUAUGAAGAUGUUUAUAGUAGCCAAGGAAUACCACCUUUCUGUGUUCAUCAGAGUUCUGUUAACAAACUCCACAAUUCCAAUAACAAUAACAAUGAUAAUAAUUAUUACAAAAAAUAUGGUGACCGCUUUAUUGGAGAAAAACAUCAUCAUCAAUCACUGCCAACAACAGAAUGUCUUCAACUGAAAUCUUCGGAUAAAACCAGCCCUAAUUUUGCGGGAGAACAACACUACCAGCACUAUUACUCUUAUUUCUAUAAUCAAAAUAGUCCCAGUUCUAAACUAGUGAGUAGUUCGGGGCGUGGCAGGAAAUUGCCGUUCACAUCAAAAAUGCCAUUUUCAAAGAAGAAUUUACAUUCUGCCGAAAGUCAAUUAAUAGCCAAAUAUGACUUGAUAUCUGUCGAAGCAAACAAUUUGGUGGCGAACAACAACGACAAUGAUUGUGAGAACACUCCCCGUACGAAUUAUAAUUAUGUGCUUAGAGAAAAAACCUCGAACAAUAAUAAUGAAAUUGAAGCGUUUGAGAAUGGAAAUUGGCAUUAUGACUCCAAUGAUGUGGCGCAGGUUAAAAAUGCUGGAGGGGAUUAUUUAGACCUGAAACCAUUUGAUGCUCAAGAAUAUAAUUCUAAUAGCUUUUGUAAAGAGGACUCCAAAGCUACAGCCUUGUUUUUAGAACAACUAAAAAGUAAACGUAAAUUACGAACCAACUCUGGAGAGAAUGGAGCAAAUUUUGGUUAUAGUAGUCAAAUUUCUAUUGUAGAGAUGGAUAACGUCGUAGAAAAUGAAAAUGCUUCAAAUGUUUACGAAUCAGUGAAAAGACAGCAGAACCAACAAACUUUAAAUGGCAAAGCGGAGAACACUCAUAGACAAAUCAAAUUACCAGUGACUCCAACAAAAUCAAAGGGCAAUACUUCUGCAAAAAAAUGUUCACCUCCACCAAAAAAUCGCCGAGUAUUAAUUUACAAUAUUCAAAGUCCACGUCUAUCUCGUUUAUCAACAUCUAACACUCGUUUACAACGAUCUAAAUUCAAAAUUCAUAAUGAGACAAAGGACGAUAGUAAAACCGCAGCUGUUGGUUCAACAUCGUGCGAACACAAAAAUGAUGCUGAUCAUAUACAAGUACUUAAUUCUGUAAGUUAUAAAAAAAACUGUGAUAGCAGCAAGCAAAGUGAUGGGAAUAAAAAUGAUGAUAACCUUAAUGGAAAUAACGACGAUGACAACAGUGAUGUAGACGAUGAUGAUGAUUUUGAUAAUGUUUCAGAUUUUGGUAGCAGUAGUGACUCAGACAUUUCAUCAGAUUCUGAAGAGGGCUAUAGGUCGUACGCUUAUAAGUUAACGCAUUCAUUGGAUGUCGUGUCUACUUCGCCAUCAGUAGAAUCUUCAAUAAAUUCUGAAUCUGAAAGUUUAGAUAACCCUGAUGCUCUUUUAGUACCUAGUUUGUUUCCGAACGUACCACCGUAUUUAGCGUUUUCUUCGAACACCAAGAAGGGUCCCGAGGUUCCGAGUGAUCUCUAUCGUAUACUUAAAUGGAGAGUCACAAAUGUCAUGCCGCGUGUAGUACGCUCAAUUUUAGCAAAUAGUGGGAUGCGUUUAUUAAAAAAAACUAAUGAUUGGAUGGGUGUCUGGGGAAAGCAUAUGAAAUCACCGUGUUUUAAAACAAUCCGACCAUACCAAAAAAUCAAUCACUUGCCAGGAUCUUUCAAAAUCGGUCGAAAGGAUUCUUGUUGGAAAAAUUUAGUUAAAUUAAUGGCGAAGCAUGGAAAGAAAGACUUUGGAUUUAUGCCUAAAACCUACAUUAUACCAAAUGAUUUAAAACAGUUACGAAAAAGUUGGCCAAAAUACGCUCAAAAAAAUGUUAAAUGGAUAAUAAAACCACCUGCGAGUGCAAGGGGUACUGGAAUUCGGGUAGUCGAUAGAUGGGCACAAAUACCUAAACGAAAACCUCUCAUAGUACAGAAAUACAUUGAGCGUCCGUUGUUAAUAAACGGAAGUAAAUUUGAUUUACGUUUAUAUGUCUUAGUCACAUCUAUUAACCCAUUGCGUGUUUACAUGUAUCACAACGGCUUAGCCCGAUUUGCAUCAGUUAAAUAUAGUGACAAAUCAGAUACAUUAAACGACCGUUGUAUGCAUUUAACCAAUUAUAGCAUAAACAAAUUUUCAUCUAACUAUUCUAAGAAUGAAGAUGUCAACGCCUGCCAUGGCCACAAGUGGACGAUAAAAUCGUUGUGGACAUAUUUGGGAAGUCGUGGUGUUCGUACGGAUCUGUUGUGGUCAGCUUUAAAAAGUUUAGUACUGCGUACAAUUUUAGCUGGCGAAAAUUCAAUUAACAAUAUGAUAAGAGCGAAUGUCGAGUCAAAGUACAGUUGCUUUGAGCUAUUUGGUUUUGAUGUUCUCUUAGAUGCGGAUUUAGUUCCUUGGCUAUUAGAAGUAAAUAUUUCACCGUCAUUGCAUUCUGAGCUACCACUAGAUUCACAUGUAAAAGCUCCACUUGUCCAAAGUGUUUUAAAUACAGCUUUAUAUAAUAUACCACCUAAAAUUCCUAUCGAGCGACAAAGAGAAAUUGCUAUGGAAAUGUCAUUGCCGCCAGGACCUAUAUGUUACGAUAAACGGAUGUAUAUUAAUUAUUUAUCGCGAGCUGAAAAAAUCAAGCAUAAUACUUUCACCCGUAAAAGUAUGGAGGAUCGUGAUGAGUACGUUAAUGGUAUUUUGGAACAUUUAACGCCGGAUGAUGUACGAUGCCUCGUAAUUGCUGAAGACGAAUUGGCACGAUGUUCACCAUUGGAACGGAUUUUCCCUACCAUAGACACUUACAAAUAUUUAAAAUAUACUGAAGCACCUCGGUACUACAAUCGUUUAUUAGAUGCAUGGGAAUCGCGUUAUGCUAAUAAUCGAACUGAAGGUAUUCAUCUAUUACGCCAAUAUUGCGAAGAUCAAUAUCAUCUUCAAGUGCCCCAAAUACCAACUAAAAAGUAUUUCGAAGGCGAUGACAAUAUUUAUUUCAUACCAAGUGAAAGUAAAUCAGUAUCAGGACUCGAGCGAUGAUGAAAAAUCGACACACCAGAUCAGCUCUUACGAUAGCAGCUUCUAGCAAUAAAUGGAGAGAAUUACGGCGUAAAAUACAAAUUGCCCACAUCAACAAUAUGAUUUUAACAAACAAUACCAAAUGCAAUGACCUGCUCUCCGAGCAUAAUAAAAGCGAAGAGGAUGAAAUGACAGAGGAGGAAAUUACAAACGAAAAAUAAUGCGAGCAAACUAUUGUACACAUGCUACUUAUGAGUGCUACUACUAUGUAAAUUAAUGUGUUCUCAAAAUUCAGACUGACCAAAAAAGAUCUUAAUAUAUUCCUUUAAAGUCGUCUUAUAAAUAUUUAAUAGAUGUUACUCUUUUUCUAUCAUGUACAAAAGUUGUAAGAUAGGCUUUGUUCCCUCCAAAAUGUUAAGGUCUAUUAAAUAUGACAAUAUACUCAUUCGUAAGUUAUUAAGAAUUAGUAUUUUUUUCUUUUCCAAAUUGUAGAAGUAUAUUCAAACUUAUUUUAAUUAAGAUAACAAUUGUUAUUGAGUCAAAUGUUGAAAUUGUAAUAUUUUAUAAAAAUUGGAAAGUAAAUUGUUUUAAUAAAAAUUUUAGUAAAAUUGUAAUUAA